UUUCUUUCAUCCCAAACAGCC
rnacentral:miRNA from 1 species